rnacentral:rRNA from 1 species
AGCCGAAAGGUUGGCUAAUACCGCAUGAGUUCUACGGAAGAAAGAGGGGGACCCGCAAGGGCCUCUCGCGAGCGGAGCGGCCGAUGACUGAUUAGCCGGUUGGUGAGGUAACGGCUCACCAAAGCAACGAUCAGUAGCUGGUCUGAGAGGACGACCAGCCACACUGGGACUGAGACACGGCCCAGACUCCUACGGGAGGCAGCAGUGGGGAAUUUUGGACAAUGGGCGCAAGCCUGAUCCAGCUAUUCCGCGUGUGGGAUGAAGGCCCUCGGGUUGUAAACCACUUUUGUAGAGAACGAAAAGACACCUUUUAAAAAAGGGUGUUGCUGACGGUACUCUAAGAAUAAGCACCGGCUAACUACGUGCCAGCAGCCGCGGUAAUACGUAGGGUGCGAGCGUUAAUCGGAAUUACUGGGCGUAAAGGGUGCGCAGGCGGUUGAGUAAGACAGAUGUGAAAUCCCCGAGCUUAACUCGGGAAUGGCAUAUGUGACUGCUCGACUAGAGUGUGUCAGAGGGAGGUGGAAUUCCACGUGUAGCAGUGAAAUGCGUAGAUAUGUGGAAGAACACCGAUGGCGAAGGCAGCCUCCUGGGACAUAACUGACGCUCAGGCACGAAAGCGUGGGGAGCA